rnacentral:rRNA from 1 species
GAUGAACGCUGGCGGCGUGCCUAAUACAUGCAAGUCGAGCGAACAGACGAGGAGCUUGCUCCUCUGACGUUAGCGGCGGACGGGUGAGUAACACGUGGAUAACCUACCUAUAAGACUGGGAUAACUUCGGGAAACCGGAGCUACUACCGGAUAAUAUAUUGAACCGCAUGGUUCAAUAGUGAAAGACGGUUUUGCUGUCUCUUAUAGAUGGAUCCGCGCCGCAUUAGCUAGUUGGUAAGGUAACGGCUUACCAAGGCAACGAUGCGUAGCCGACCUGAGAGGGUGAUCGGCCACACUGGAACUGAGACACGGUCCAGACUCCUACGGGAGGCAGCAGUAGGGAAUCUUCGGCAAUGGGCGAAAGCUUGACGGAGCAACGCCGCGUGAGUGAUGAAGGUCUUCGGAUCGUAAAACUCUGUUAUUAGGGAAGAACAAAUGUGGAAGUAACUAUGCACGUCUUGACGGUACCUAAUCAGAAAGCCACGGCUAACUACGUG